UUCGAGUUCAGCCCUUUUCGAGUUAAGCCCCUGCCUCGCCCUUUUUCGCCGGGGGCUUAACUCAAAGUCAAUUAACGAUUUAAGCUUUCGAAUGCUUAAGCUCCGACAUUUGGUGGAUGUAAACAAGUGACGCGUGUAUAUACUCGCAAAAAUAUUGGCAAAUAAGGAGGGAGAAUGUAAAAUUUCAGUAAUUUUAAGAAAUAUAUUUUACUAAGAUCUCUAUUGCUUU